AUUGAACGCUGGCGGCAGGCCUAACACAUGCAAGUCGAGCGGAUGAAGGGAGCUUGCUCCUGGAUUCAGCGGCGGACGGGUGAGUAAUGCCUAGGAAUCUGCCUGGUAGUUGGGGAUAACGUCCGGAAACGGGCGCUAAUACCGCAUACGUCCUUAGGGAGAAAGUGGGGGAUCUUCGGACCUCACGCUAUCAGAUGAGCCUAGGUCGGAUUAGCUAGUUGGUGGGGUAAAGGCCUACCAAGGCGACGAUCCGUAACUGGUCUGAGAGGAUGAUCAGUCACACUGGAACUGAGACACGGUCCAGACUCCUACGGGAGGCAGCAGUGGGGAAUAUUGGACAAUGGGCGAAAGCCUGAUCCAGCCAUGCCGCGUGUGUGAAGAAGGUCUUCGGAUUGUAAAGCACUUUAAGUUGGGAGGAAGAACAGUAAGUUAAUACCUUGCUGUUUUGACGUUACCAACAGAAUAAGCACCGGCUAACUUCGUG
rnacentral:rRNA from 1 species